AGCUGGAGUCAAAGGAUAUUCCAUAUGGAAGAACAGGCUUCAGGAUGAAGGAGAGCACCGGAAUGUGUGAGGACUCUUCAGAGGGUGAAUGCUUUGGUUACCACGUCCUGGGAAAUGAACAACUUAAAACGUAAGU